GAUCAUGGCUCAGGAUGAACGCUGGCGGCGUGCCUAACACAUGCAAGUCGAGCGAUUCUCUUCGGAGAAGAGCGGCGGACGGGUGAGUAACGCGUGGGUAACCUGCCCUGUACACACGGAUAACAUACCGAAAGGUAUGCUAAUACGGGAUAAUAUGUUUUUGAUCGCGUGGUCGAAAUAUCAAAGCUCCGGCGGUACAGGAUGGACCCGCGUCUGAUUAGCUAGUUGGUGAGGUAAUGGCUCACCAAGGCGACGAUCAGUAGCCGACCUGAGAGGGUGAUCGGCCACAUUGGAACUGAGACACGGUCCAAACUCCUACGGGAGGCAGCAGGUGGGGAAUAUUGCACAAUGGGCGAAAGCCUGAUGCAAGCAACGCCGCGUGAGCGAUGAAGGCCUUCGGGUCGUAAAGCUCUGUCCCCAAGGAAGAUAAUGACGGUACUUGAGGAGGAAGCCCCGGCUAACUACGUGCCAGCAGCUGC
rnacentral:rRNA from 1 species